rnacentral:rRNA from 1 species
GAUCCUGGCUUAGGAUGAACGCUGGCGGCGCGCUUAACACAUGCAAGUCGAACGGUUAAAGCCCCUUCGGGGGUGCAUACAGUGGCGAACGGCUGAGUAACACGUGGGCAACCUGCCCCCCGCACCGGGAUAGCCUCGGGAAACCGUGGGUAAUACCGGAUACUCCGCAGCCCCCCGCAUGGGGGAGGCGGGAAAGCGUACACGGCGGGGGAUGGGCCCGCGGCCUGUUAGCUCGUUGGCGGGGUAACGGCCCACCAAGGCGAUUAUGGGUAGCCGGGUUGAGAGACCGACCGGCCAGAUUGGGACUGAGACACGGCCCAGACUCCUACGGGAGGCAGCAGUGGGGAAUCUUGCACAAUGGGCGAAAGCCUGAUGCAAGCGACGCCGCGUGCGGGAGGAAGGCCCUCGGGUUGUAAACCGCUUUCAGCAGGGACGAGGCGCGAGUGACGGUACCUGCAGAAGAAGCCCCGGCUAACUACGUGCCAGCAGCAGC